rnacentral:rRNA from 1 species
AUUGAGCGCUGGCGGCAUGCUUUACACAUGCAAGUCGAACGGUAACAGGGUGCUUGCACCGCUGACGAGUGGCGAACGGGUGAGUAAUGCGUCGGAACGUGCCGAGUAGUGGGGGAUAACGCAGCGAAAGUUGUGCUAAUACCGCAUACGUACUGAGGUAGAAAGUGGGGGACCUUCGGGCCUCACGCUAUUCGAGCGGCCGACGUCUGAUUAGCUAGUAGGUGAGGUAAAGGCUCACCUAGGCGACGAUCAGUAGCGGGUCUGAGAGGAUGAUCCGCCAUACUGGGACUGAGACACGGCCCAGACUCCUACGGGAGGCAGCAGUGGGGAAUUUUGGACAAUGGGCGAAAGCCUGAUCCAGCCAUGCCGCGUGUCUGAAGAAGGCCUUCGGGUUGUAAAGGACUUUUGUCAGGGAGGAAAUCCCUAGUGCUAAUAACACUGGGGGAUGACAGUACCUGAAGAAUAAGCACCGGCUAACUACGUGCCAGCCGCCGCGGUAA